ACAACCAUAUACCUUUGUAUUGGGAAUAGUGGGAUCUCUUUCACUCCGAGACGAAAAGAUCAAUUUGCUCUCUUCAUUUAAAAAAUGAUUUAUUCUCCUUUUAUUUCCCUCUCAUAAAUCAACCCUGGCCAAGGCUCCAGGAGGGCAGGCUCUGAAAAGAAUAAAAUGCUGAAGCUUGGGGAUGUAAAUAAAAACUGCAUCCCAAACAGUUUCCAGGCAGCCUCUGGAGCCGCAGAUUCAUCUCAAAGAAAAAUAACAGGAUAUAUGGCAUAGGCUCAGGGCAGCAAUGAGCUCCCGAGCCGCGAUGUCGCAUUGCUUGCGUGCGCAGGCUGCUUCAGAGCUGCUGGUAUUAGGGUGGAGGUCUGGAAGCCCGGCUCGGGGCUGCUGAGGCUGUGGAAGUCCAUUUCCCGUGUUUGUUUGGGGGAUUACUCUUCUCUCUUGGGUAGGAGUGGAGCGCAGGGGGGCUGGAGGAGGUUUAAUCCCCGAGACAAGAGGAAACCUUCAAAAAGGUUAAUUGCUGGGCUUUGCGUUUUGUCUGGUGCGGCUGCUCACGUUACAGCAGCGAUGCCAUCUGCUCGCACAGCCCGGUGCCCUGCAUAAUUCACCAGCUUGGCGUGUUGGUGUUCGCGGGAGCGCUGCUGGGCUAUUCAUGAGGAAGUCACCUUUAGGCAGGGCUCAGGUAACCGGUCACCCGACACCCCCAGCCUGACUUCUGCCCUCUUGUCCUUUUGCCCUGCCUGUUCCUGCCCCCGGGUUGCAGGAGUCCAUGGCCGGUGCGUGCUGGGUGGUCCGUCCCCAGCGUCCCCCUGCAGCGGCACAGGCACCGUCCCCUGCCCUGCUCAAGCAUCGCCUCCUCGCUGCAGCACCGCUCCGAGUUGCUCGCCUGCAGCCCGAGGGCAGGGCGGACGCAGUUCCCUGCCCAGCUCCUCUCCUUGCCCCACGCACAUGUGAAGCUGCAGGCCCCAACCCCAUCCAAACACACUGCCUUUUUCUUCCCGUCUUAAAAACUCAACCCAUUUGGCAAUUCUCUCUUGCUUCUUCAGUGGCCACAGACUCGUGCAGGACUUCAGGUCCUACCGGAGAAGCGUUUCGGGGCUCCGGUAGGCCCAACGCACCGCUGUGCCCAUCUCACCGAGGUAACCAAUGCGUUUCAGCAGCACAACAAGAACGGGAUUUUUUCCUACCGCUCCAUGCCCAGACCUUAUGUGGGAACUUUCCUGGCUAAGUGCCGCUGCUGGUGGGAUGAUGUAACCCAGUGACUCCCAGGCUGGCAUUCUGCGGGUGAGAUUGAUGGCAACGUCUCGUCGAUAAAUCCAUACAGACCCCAAACCUGUGAUGAACGUGCAGGAGAACGUAGUCUGAACAUAAGCAAGGUCAAGAAGACUCCUGACACGUGCUGAGAACCAGAAGUUUCUCUCAGCCUCCAGCAAGGCAUUUCUCUGCGUUGGGGCCGAACUCUUCCUUGGACACCGCGGGCAGCCGGUGUCACUUCCCAUGAGAACGCAGUGGCAAAAUCCAGCCGGACAGAGGGAGCAGUCCGCCCAACAUGAAUGCAAGAGUUUGUUUUACCCGCAGGAGCCAAAGAGGUGGAGAUGGCUCAGGGGCCAGGGAGGAUGCACGGGGUCCUUCCCUCCUGCACCCCGCUCCCAUCUCACACCUUUGGUACUCCAGGAGGGACGGGAUGGGACGGGACGGGACGGGACGGGACAGGACAGGACAGGACACCCCCACCACCGUGGGGCUGAGGACAGAGGAAAUUGUUGGGGAAUGAUGGAGUGGGAGCCGCUCUGCAUCUUCGGACUGCGGAGCUCGGCCUGAGCCCUCUCCCCAGG